rnacentral:lncRNA from 1 species
CCUUAAAAUGAUUGAAACCAAUAACAAAAAAAUGAGUUAAUUCCAUAUCAAAACUCUUAGAUUCUUACCCUAAACCUUCAUAAAAAUAGCCAAAAUAAAAAACAGCUCCCCCAAUUUGAGCAAUCAACAUUUGGAAACAUAGAAAUCAAACACAAACCAAAACCAAAGAAGCCGAUAUUCUUUACGAAUUUAGCAUAACAAAAUAAUAAAUUG